rnacentral:snoRNA from 1 species
CUUAUGCACUGGCAAGAGUUUUUGGUAAUUUUAAUAAUCAUUAACUCUCUAAUCCGCUGAAGGUAGAUUAAAUCGUUCAUUCUUACAUUCCGUUGACACUGCAUUAUUAGCUUCUAUAUGAUGUGAUCCUUGCAGCUUAGCUGAUUGGAGUGAACACAAUU